GGCACAAGUAGAGCAUUACGUGUGAUCUACUGAUGACAGAAUUAAGCCUAGAAAAAGCUUUCCCAAACAACAUGACCAUCAGGUUCCCGCCUCUUUAUCAGCUCCCACUGAAGGUAAGUUGGUGCCAACUGGGGCACAAGUAGAGCAUUACGUGUGAUCUACUGAUGACAGAAUUAAGCCUAGAAAAAGCUUUCCCAAACAACAUGACCAUCAGCUUCCCGCCUCUUUAUCAGCUCCCACUGAAGGUAAGUUGGUGCCAUUGGAAACCUCACAUAGUUGACGAGUUCAGAGCCCUCCGCCUUGUAAGGCGCAUUGCGUGGUGCAUCCUCGCCCUCCUCGGUGCUCUCCUUGGUAUAAGACCUGUACGGCUCCAUUCUGUGUACAGUUCGAUUUCUCCAAUAAUCGAUCAGCCUCAGUUGUUUGAUCAUCUCUUCCUGCUCAUUACUCAACACACUUUGGUUCCUAGGUGGAUUGAUCCCCAAAUCAUUUAAGCAACCUUUCUGGUAUUUAUUCAGGUUCCGCUGAUCUGGUUUGUUUUGUGGUACCUCAUAACUCUCAGGUCUUCUAUUGAUAGGGUAACUGAGCAAGGCAUUGUUCAUAACUUUUUUCUUCCAGCCAUCCACAUAUGGUAAUUUAUCCAGAAUUGCUCUGAACUCCUCAAAUGAUAACACAGAUCUGAUGGUCUCAUACAUCUUUUGGAAGAAAAAUGAGCACUGCGUCAAAGGAACCAACGAGGCAUGAACUGGAAACAUUGACCUGGACUCGAAUUCCCUCUCAAUUACAUUGAGCAGGUGCAAGAUAUCUUCAGGAAUGUUGUACUGUAUACCAGUUGGAGUAAUAAGCUUGAAGAGAUCUCGAAUAAUGUUAGCAGCACACUUGAAGUUUCUAUGGAGACGCCUCUUGAAUUCUGGACCUCUGCGAAGACAACUGAUAAUGGUGACAUUCUUGAAUUUCACUUUUCCUGUUUCAGUAAGUACAAUAUUAUCUUCAGUGAAAUCCUCAAAACAGAUUUGCAACGCUUCAUUGAUAACAAGGCCCUUGAGCAUAGUCCUGAUACAUUUCUUGCAGCGUUCGCUGGCAAUGGUAAAGCUUUUAGGGUCUUCAGUUUCCCCGGGCAAUGGAUUACAUCCAUCUUCAUCCAGCCCUACGAGAACAACUUUUGGAACGAGCAUGUGGUACUUCAGCUUGUACACCUUCAAGUCAAUGUAAUGUUCACAGUGUACUUGUCCAGACAUGACACACAGGUCAUAGGCUACAUACGGUAGGGUUCCUGCAGAAAAAAAACUACGUGAUUGACAGGAAUAGAAAUCAUCUAAAAAUAAGAUAGAAGUAUGGAAGUUAAUUUAAGAAGCCAGCGAACAGUAAAAACAUAUUUGCAAGCUAAAAGGUUAGUAGGUAGUGGUGUAAAGUGGCAUCAUUCAGAUUAUAAUGUUCCUAUAGACAGUUUAUAUCCAGCUAAGAAUAUAUCCCAAACACUAUGCAAUCUCAGAAUUUCAUGUAAAGCUGCUCACUUGAGAAACUUCCGGAUGGCACCCCCAGCAAGACGAACAAAUGAUGUUCAGCAUAUUUUACCAGCCUAGCAUGCUUCUGUAGUGUAGCCCUCAACACAGAUGUCUCCUACAGAUACAGAAUAAAGUGCAAGUUAAAUAAGGUAUGUGUGCUUCCAUCAAUUUUUUUUUGCAACUAGACUGUUACUUGUAACAACACUAGCAUUCAAAAUGGGAACCAGCACUUUCAGGAGAAUGAGUCAGUGAAGCAUUGGGGAGGGGGAACUUACAGGCAACACGUUGAGCACAAAAAGAGCGUGUCCCAAAACCAGAGCAUCUACAUCUUUAGGACUACAUAGAUACAAAAGGAUAUAUUAGUGAUCCAUUAGGCCUAUCAUAAAUAAAUAAAUAAAUAAAAACUAAUACAAACAACACAGGUAUAUGCAGGACGAUUGUAAGUGUACCUGUUCCCAAAGAGGUACACUUCAUCCUUAGUUAAUGUUUCAGACAACAUAUCAUAAACAGCCUCUGCCCUCCAAUAAAUCUGUUUAAAUAGAAACCUGCAUUAGGUUAGGUUGGCAGUAGCACCUAAAAAGAAAAAAGAAUAAUAAUAAGCAAACCACCUCUUGUCCCAAAUCAGCAGUUGACCUAUUCAACCUCGAACAUAGAUCACGUUUUUCAUCUCUUAGCCCCUUCCAGUGAAGAAUCUUCCGAAUUGGCCAAGCGAUAUCAGAGAAGUAGAUAUCAUUUGCAAUGCUUCCAUCACUAACUACCCACAGUUCAUACUGCAGGGCAUCAGCAAGCCAGGUCGAAACCAUGACCUUUGUGCGCUCAACAGAGGCUGAUUGUGUAAUCAGUUGGCUGCAUGGAGUUUAAGUCAAGAAUGCUGGUAUCCCUAAGAUAUUGAAUCACCCCUCCGCCCUCAUUGUUCAAAGCCACACAAUCUCCAAAUUCAACAUACGGUAUUUGCUCUGCGCAAAAAACAAAACGCAGUGAACUUAUCAGCAGGGGGCGAAAAAAUCCCAACCAGAACAGUGACCUAGCACACAAAUGCAGAUCCAGCAGCGACAAGUGAUUCUGGCAACAACUAUCUAGCAACAAGGGUAGACAGAUGCAACUAUGGAAGAGCACCAAGCAAUUCUGGCAACGACCACCUAGCAACAAGGGUAGACAGAUGUAACUAUCCAGCAGCAACUAGUGUCGAUCCAGUAGAGCAUCAAAUGAUCUACCUAGCAACAAGGGUAGCAACAAGAUGCAAAUAUCCAUGUGGAUCUAGCAACGUCAUGAUAUAACAUUAAGGCACAGUAAACAGUGGAUGAGAGGAGGUGGGGACUGGGGAGAUCACCUGCGUUUGGGUUGCAGGUGUCCACUUCGAGGUCGAAGGGAACAUCAGCCAUUCUGAGGUAGAGAAGUACGGUUAGGCACAUCGGGCAAGCGGUGGGGAGUCGGAAGCCUGGCUUCCGCACAACCAAAGUCUUCCGCGGCGCCGCCUCCCACUCGCGCGCCACAGGACCAGCACCCGCGGCCCUGGCCGCCACGGCCAACUUCGCGGCCAUGGGCCCGGCAGCAUUAGACGUCCCCCACUCCUUGACCGUGGCAGCGACCAUGGACGCGGCCCCAGCCGCCAGUACUUUGAGCCCCAAAUCCGCGGCCGCGGACCAGGUGACCGCCUCCACGACCGCGGACCCGGUCACCGCCUCCAGGGCCACGGACCCGGUCACCGCCUCCCACUCCGCGGCCGUGAACCCAGCCGCCGCGGCCGCCACGGCCAUGGCACCCGCCGCCGCCACCGAUGGCAUUGGCUGGCUUCUGAGUAGGGUUUAGGUUCGGGACUUCGUCUCGGUUUGCCCUGAAUCCGAUUUCAAGAUGGAGGGUUAAAAAAUCAGGGCCCAGAUAACCACAAAGCCCAGUGUGUGUGUGGUGAUAAUCCAUCACUAGCGCGAUAGGACGCUUCGCAAUUCUCACGGUGCUUUCAUCCGUACAACCAGCUAAUCAUCUGUUAAAGACGAGCCCAAAGCUGAUAGGCUGAUUUGUUUUAGGCCCUGUUCGUUUUGCCUCCAAAACGAAGGUUAUUGGGAAGCAUUGAGGCCCUGUUAGUUUGAUCCAGGGCCAAGGGGAUUGAGAGAAAUCGAGGGGAAAUUUACGAGUCAAAAUCUUCGUCAACACUCUCCAAUCCCUUUGAUUUUGAUUUUAAAAGGGAGAUCCAAAACCAAAUGAGUUGGAGGGGAUUGAAAGGGCCUAUAUUGUAAGUCAAAAUCCUCGUCUAACCCAUUCAAUCCCUCCAAUCUCAAGAUCAAGCGAAGUCCCCUCCAAUCCUCAUGAUUUAAGGAUGGAAAUAAACAAACAAAUAAAGAAACUAAAAAAACAUUGUUGUUCAAAAAAAAAAGUAAGCACAAGUAGGCAGAUGGAUAUUAUCAUACCAACGAUAAAUCUCCCUGAGGCCUUCUUGUUGGGUUUUGAUCCACCAUAGAGGACCCUGAUGGAUGGAUCGGAAGCCGGAAGGCCGCCCUGCUGCUGGCUGUACAGCCCGACCGACGGGCCGUGCAACCCAUCUUCCUGGCAAAGGUCAACCGGAGAGGCCAGACAACCGGCCGGGCCGAUCCCCGAUGAUGACCAUGGCACUUGAGAAGACUCGGCAAGAGCCUCUUCUUCCUCCUCAUCGUCUUCUUGUUUUGAUGGGUAUAUGGAUGCAAAGAAGAGGACGACUGCUGGAGAUGAAAGAGGUGGGGGGGGGGGGGGGGGGGUGGGGAGGGGAUUGUUUGGGGGCAAGGGUGGAACAGCUUAGGGAGGGGAUAUAAGUAGAGGAUGAGGAGCGUCCGGGACCGGCCUUUCCCAUAAAACCAGGGCCGUCGGUAGAGUAUAAUUAAUAAUAACAACAACUGAUAGAUCACGCGACACGACACGCGUGCAUAUCGAUUCGUUUCCGCCAGCGCGGCGCACGGUCCACAUCAAGGCCCCCCACCUUUGAAAAAGAGGGCCCGAUGGAGACGGCGACGGCUGCGGUAACCCAAGCGGCCACGUCUCGUCUGGUCUCCUCUCCUCUCCUCUCCUCUCGUCCGGCCCGUCCCACUCCGACGCGGACCCAUCCAAAUUUAAAGAUGGUCCAGGCCUGCUCGGCUAGCGUUCAGCCCAUCCAAAUCCAAAUUAAAGAUGGUCCACGCAGGCACGCACGCACCCCACCACGGACGGAUCCGACGAGUUGCAUUUUAUGGCGUUUUCCCUUUGGAUUUGGACGCACCACCGCACCAAUGCACGGCUUUCCUUCCCUCCACAGUCCACACCAACAACGACCACCGCAUUUUCCCGCCCCAGGACCCGUAGUCGUCGCACGUGUCAAAAGGUAUGGCCGGGCGCCGGCCAUUCCCUCGGUUCCUCCGCCCCUGCUCCCGCUACGCCAACGACUUCGGCCUUGUUUAGAUAAAAAAUUUUACAAGAGCACGAAUAUUAAAUAUAGAUAAAAAAACUAACUAUAUAGUUUAUCUGUAAAUCAUGAGACAAAUUUUUUAAGCCUAGUUACUCUAUGAUUGGACAAUGUUCUAAAAAGUUUUUAAAUCUAAACAAGGCCUUAGUUUACCAAGAAAAUCAAAAAAGUUUUCAACACAUUGAAUCUUGUGAUACAUAUAUGAAGCAUUAAAUAUAGACAAAAAUAAAAAACUAAUUAUACAGUUUAACUGUAAAUCGCGAGACAAAUCUUUUAACUCUAAUUAGUCUAUAAUUGAACAAUAUUUAUCACAAACAAGCAAAAGUGCUACAAUAACAUCCAAAAAAUUUUCACAUUUACAAAACACGGACAUGUGCUGGUCAACAGGAGUUUACUGUUCAGUUUACAAAACAAUUGAAUUUUAAAAAUAGUGUAGAAGAGUUUUAUUUCUAUAAAACUAUCUCUAUUUUUAUAAAACCAUCAUCUCUACUUCUUCAUCAAUAUAAUGUCAUAUUAACAUAUUUAAUGUGCAUAAAAUUUUCAUGAAACCUCCAUCUUAUUUACCAAAUUUAUUAGUCAUUAAAUAAUAUUUUCUCUCAACUGAAAUUGUUAAGUCAGACAUUAGACCAAUCUUAGUGGCCCGUUUAAUGCACUGUUUCCAAAAUAAAUCCGCUGACAGGGCAACAAUGAAACGAAUAAUAAAACAACCUCCACAAAGCAUGAGUUUCACCUUGACAUUUCCUAGGCUGGGCAAAGCAUUUAAUUACUGCAAAAUGAUUGGAUCACAUGUAAGAUGGUGAAACGAUUUAGCCCUCAAUGGGGACUUCAUCCCGUUUCACCGCGUGGGAAACAACGUCCGCGGAAUUUCACUAUGAUAAAACUACUUCCUUCUCUCUCCUUUUCGUUUCAUGCAAAAAGUGUAAUUUUACUUACAUGACGCUCUAAUAAAUGUGCAUGACAUACUAGUGAAACCCCCCGCUCAGACUGACUUUAUUAUCACAUAAACAUGAAAAGUAGCGAUCUUCAUCAGUUCUAUAAAUGCUAAUCAGAUGAGUACCUGGUGACAACACGACCGCCGUAGCCUCUUCGGUAGCUGAGUAUUUGCUAUAGGACAUGUUUAGAUCUAUUUUUUUUAGAUUUUGAACAUUGUAAUAUUUUUGUUUGUAUUUAUAAUUAUUGUCUAAAUAUAUAAUAAUUAGGUUUAAAAUAUUCGUCUCGUAAAUUACAGACAAAUUGUAUAAUUAACUAUUUUUUAUCUAUAUUUAAUAUUUUAUACACGGGUCUAAAGAUUCGAUGUAAUAAAAAAUCUUAUAAACUUUUAGAAUUUUAAAGAUAUCUAAAUAGGUCCAUAGUCUGCAAAAAAUGAUUCAUCUGAAAACCCUGUAAGGCUGCAAGAAUUUAUAUCCUUCACUGUUAGAUAGGAUACAGAAAAAUCCUGAAAAUAUUAAUAGCAAGUCAACAACAUACAGUACCAUCAAAAAAUAAUGGCACACAGCAUUUCUCAGUACGUAAAGAUAGAUCAAUAAUAGUUUGUUGGUUUGAGAUUAUCUACCAAAUCUGUCAGUCAUUCAGAAGUGUUCAGCAAAUAAUAUUUUUAGUCAUAACUAUUCAAGAGUGUAACAAAUAAUAUUUGCAAGCGACCAAGCUGAAAAAACUAGUAAGACCCAUGCGGCAAAUGCCGCGGGCGCUAGGCAGCUACUAUUCUAGCCAAUUAAACAAUAUUGAGAUAUGUGCAGCAGAAAAGAGAGUACAAAAUACUAGGAAAGAAAGUGCUAGUGCUGAACACGUAAGAGAGAGUGUGUAUUGCAACACGAAUCUUAAAACACUUUUGAAUGGUGGAAGAUAAGCACCACUAAACAGCCACAUGCUACGAUACAUUAUCGCAAAUAACUAGUGAUCUUGGAAGAAUGGUCAUAUUUAUUCUUUAUUAUUGUAUAAAAGGAGCAUCAGAAUAACAAACGUAGUCGAAAUAAUAAUUAAUGUUCAAAGUAUUACAAAAUAGAAAUCAUGAAAAGAUCAAAAUCGCCUAUGAACAGGUAAUCUAUAGUAGGUACAACCUAAGCCCUAUUCUUUCUAUUUGAAGUAGGCGAAGCAUCAGAAUUUACAGGACACUGUGAUAAUAUGGUCUUGUUUAUGCUUUGUUUACUUCCACCUAAAAAUUCAAAAUUUUUCAAUAUUCUCCGUCACAUCGAAUCUUUAGACGCAUGUAUGGAGUAUUAAAUGUAAAUAAAAAUAAAAACUAAUUGCACAGUUUGGUCGAAAUUGACGAGACAAAUCUUUUAAGCCUAGUUAGUCUAUCGUUAGACAAUAAUUACCACAAACAAACAAAAAUGCUACAGUGUCGCAAAAAUUUUUCCUUCACGAACUAAACAAGGCCUUAAUUCAUCCAAAAAACCAAAAAAUUUUAAGAUUUCCUGUCACAUCGAAUCUUACGGCACAUGCAUGGACCAUUAAAUAUAAUCAAAAACAAAAAACUAACUAUACAGUUUGCCUGUAAAUCGCGUAUAACACUCCAAAUUUUUGAAUUUCAAAUUCAGUUCAAAUUUGAUUUAAUUUUGGCUUAGUUUGAAUUUUUAGAGAAUUAUUAAAUAAUUUACAAAAUUAAUUAAAAUAAAAUAUAAGGUAGAAACGUGUUUGAUUUUUGCAUUCAUGCUGCUGCAUAAUUUUGAUUGAUUUGAUUUAUUUAUUUUGCUGAUGCUUGUUUUGUUUUGUUUUGGAGCAAGAAAAUUUAAAAAAAAAAGAGAAAGGGGAGAGCCCCCGCCUGGGCCGACUUCCGGCCCAGCACCCCGCGCCCCUCCCCUCUCCCCUCAUGCCCAAGUGGGCCGCGGCCCAAGCCGCACGGCAGCGGCCGGCCCCGCACUCACCCCCCGCUGCUCCCGCCCGCAGUCGCUGACGCGUGGGCCCCGCGAGUGGGACCCACCGCCUUCUUCCACCUCCGGCCGGGACGGACUCGGGGCGCAACCGACGCCCCGGUUUCCGCGCGCGGCGCCCCCAAUCCGAGCCGCACGCGCCCCAAGGAUCGUCGUGCCUUUAAAUAGCCCCCAGCCGCCGCUCGCGAACCCCCCCUAGAACCCUAGCUUCGAAAUCCGCGCCGCCGCCGUUCUCGCCAAGCUCGCGCCGCCGCCGUUGAAACCGCCGCCGUCGAGCUUCUCUUUGACUUCGUCGUUUCGCGGAGGUGAGCUCGUCAUCGCGCUCGUCGUGACGCGCCGACCCCGCCCGUGCCCUCGGCACGCUCCCCCGUGCCCUGCAGCACCGCCGCCGAAGCUCCGGGCGGCGCCAAUGGCGCCACCGCCGCCGCCGGCCGCCCCUGCGCUCCGCACCGGCGCGCGGUCCACCGUGGACCGCGGCCCUGCGCCCCCGUGCGGCCGGUCCACUGGACCGGGUCCAGGAGGCCGCCCCCCGCCGCUCCGCAGGCGCGGUCCACCAUGGACCGCGGCCUUUCCCCCCCCCCCCCGCGCCCCGGUCCACAGCACAGUGCCGUGGACCGGCCACUCCCGAGCCGCCACGUGGCCGAGCCGGCCAGCACCCACGCGCGCCCCUGCACGUUUUGCAAAAAGGCCCCUGUUUUUAUUUAAAAUUAACCCGCUAUCCUAUGCAGUUUAAAAUAAUUAUGUUUAUGCCCUUAGUUUUCGCAGUUUAACCCCUGGCUCGGUUAGAAUUUAUUUAUUUAGUCCAAAAUGAGUUUUAAUUCAGUUUUUAAUUAGUUUUAAUUACGAAAAAUAGUUCAGUUUAUCUACAGAAAUGCCAUUCAACUUGUUUUAGCCAUAACUUUUGCAUCGUGACUCCGAUUUAGGUGAUUCUGGUCGCUAUGGUUUCGUUUCGUCGAGUAGAAUACAGUAAUGCAGUUGCUUUUUGUUUCCGCAUGCUUUGGUGUACUGUUUCUGAUUAAGUUUGUUUGCUUGCAUGUAUUGUUCCUAUGAUUGAUGAUUGUCGCGUAUAGCCAACGAGACGUUCGUGAAGGAAGAGGUUCAGGAUCCCGCUGAGUUCGAGCAACCCGACUUCGAUCAAGGCAAGUGCAGACACCGUUUGAUCAUUUUGAACCUACUCAUUAAUGCCAUUUACUUUAUAUGCAUGUGUCCAAUGAAUGCAAACCCUAAGGACAUGACUAGCUUUGCUUAUUAUUCCUUGCUCACCUGGGGUUAUGUAUUUGGGUAGACUAGGCUAUACUAGGUCUGCUUAGCUGCUCUACUCAUCUUAUACACAUGUCUAAACAAGAAUUACUCUCUCUCUACUUAACUUGAUGCUUAAACUGUGCUGAAUCUUUGGUCACUGCGGUGAUGGCGAUGUUGGAUGCUUGCGAGCAUCGUGAUGAUGGUGGUGACAGGGGGAGCGGGUACCGUUGGUGGUCCGGUUUGCCGGGCGUACCCGUCUCUGCUCUCCGUAAGGACUUAGUCAGGGAGCGGCCCCCCUGGGACUUACAGUGCAGCUCCAAGCUAUAUGGCUCUGGCUUGACUAAUUAGCAGGACCUCCACUAGUAGGGUGUUACUUUCCGGGUAGGCGUGAGGAAGUAACUUGGGUAAUGAAUAUUAAGUUGUCGGUUGAUCGGUACGCCAUGGCUAUGGGUAUCGACUGCCGAGCGCCCCGACAAAAACUUGCGAGUGGCAUCCUAUUAGUUGGACCCUGUGAAAGGUCUCGUAGUGAGACCCUGCCUGCUCACCUUGGAAGUGUUUUGGGGAGUCGCGACCCCGGGCAAAUGGGAAUCACGACUUGGAGUGAACGUGCACACCUCUGCAGAGUGUAAAACUGAUAUAUCAGCCGUGCUCACGGUCACGAGCGGCCCAGACCCUCACUUGAUGAGCAAAUUGGAUUCACUGGUUACUUGGAGAUGGACCUUGGCGAGGUUGCUACCUCGUGUUUUGGCGGAAUGGCUAUUCCGUGAUGGCAGGAUUGCUAUCCUGUGGUAAUAAUUGGGGUUAAUCCCUGGAUUACUAUAAUAGUUAGGAUAGUCAUUUAAAAGAUGCUAAUUACUACUUACACUAAUUAAGGGUUGGGUUUAUACUACUCAUAUUUAGUAAUAGGUUGUUCUAGUAAUUGUUAUAAUUAAAAGCGAUCAACUAAAAUGCUACCGCAGUCAAACCAAGUCAACUUUACCUUGUUUUAAGCCUUGCAUGUCAUUACUUUCCGUCUGUGCUUGCUGAGUUCGACAUGAGCUCACCCUUGCUAUAAUCAUUAAAGGUUGCUCGGACGAUCAGGAGUACAAUUGCGAUUUCCCUGAGGACUACCCUGAGUCUCCUGGUUGUUAGGCUCGUGUGGUUCUGCCGUCGACCUUCCUGUGGCAAGGUGGUCCUGCUACGUCGGCGUUUAGUUUUCCCUUUAUUUAUGGAACAGUUUAGUUUAUGUUUCCCCUCCGCACUUUGAUAAACAUUUGGCUUGUAAUAAUGGUACUUUUACUCUCAUUUAUGUAAUUCGUUUGAACACUGUGUUUUGUACCAUUGAUGAUGUCGGUCCAUGUGUGUGAAUUUGAGAUCCUGGCGCACAUGUGAUUUGGCACCCGAAUGCUCUUUUACAUCCGGGUGUGACAGAAGUGGUAUCAAAGCCGUGUUGACCGUAGGAUCACGCAGCCUAGUUAGAAACAGCCGUUUAGACUGUCCCUUUUGGGUGGAAUACACAAUUGGAUCUAUUAACUACCUUACUAACCUGUCUCAUUAGACUUUAUCUAUUAGCCUUGUCUACUUACUUUUACUAACAGUUCAGUUUAUUCACUUAUUUCUUGCAUUUAUUACCUUGUUAUCAUUUAUUGCUUUCUAUUUCUCAUAUUGCAUUUAUAUUCUUGUUUCAACUUUUACUACUUGUUAUUUGAACCUUUCUUUUAUACCUUGUCAUUUAUUAUCAUUCUACUCAUAUUACCUUCUUGUUCCUUGUUUUUCAUUUAUUACUUGAGUUAUGUUUUAUUUCUGCCUUGACAAUAAAUUUCAUUACCUUGUUUUCACUUUAUACCUUCAUUACUUGCUUUUAUAUCUUACCAUAAAUACCACCAAAGUUCAUAUUGUCCAUCCAUUGUAUAAUCUGGGUUCAUCUUCAUUACACAUACACUUUUACCUUCAUUUAUGUUAUUCCUUUUACCUAUCAUUGUCAUGAUCUAUUAACCGUUUCCUGCAUGUCUAUGAUCUUAUGCAUAAGUAGAUGACUCGCCACCUGACCUGCCGCAAGAGCGUUAUCCGUUUCCGCCCCGUUCAAGCUGUGGAGUUCUCGUUGACUGGUCGCGUGGAUAACAUCGUGUUCCAGCCUAACCAGCAUCUUGAUGACGGUGCUAACCUCCAAGACGCGGAACCCUAUGAAGGACAGCAACCACCUCAAGCUCUGGUGGUGCAUGGAAGGGCGCCUUGCUGGGCACCUGGAGGAGAUGAUCCCUUCGGUGAUGAUGACAUGGAUGAUGAUGAUGAGGAUGAUGAUGAUGAUGAGGAUGCACCCGGAGGACCCGGAGGACCCGGUGGACCUGGAGGUCAAGAUGGACUUUUUGCUGCUGAUGAUGGGUGGAUUGUGACAGUCUGCACCAGGGAUGGUGGAGAGUGUUUCUUCCACAGCGAGCUGAAGCGUCUCCUUGACCAGCAGCUGGGACAUGGCAUGUUCUCAGUGGAGUACCGCAGUGAGCACUGGAGUCACCCAGACUACCCGGCGUACUGGAAGGUCUGGGCACACGUCGGCAGGCCUAACCCGACGUUGAGGGCACUGAGGAUCAUGUCCAUACAUGAGGCUGUGGCUGAGAGGUCUACCCAGAUGGCAGGCAUUAAUGAUGCUGCUCGCCAGGCUUUCUACGCAUACCGUGAUCACUUCUUCGAGGAGAUCAGCCAGGAUGAGCGUCGCUACUACCCUCGCCGUCGCCGUGGAGAGUUGGCGAUGACUAUUGCUUCCACCACUGAUGAGCAAGACCCCCGCAUGCACAGGACUGUCAAGCUGGUGGCGGUCACUAACACCGAGCUCAACAGUUCACUAGUGGAGUUGAAGCAAGUCAGGAAGGAGUUGGACGACGCCAGGAAGAGGAUAGCACAACUGGAGGCUCAGAUCACUGGAGUGCCACCGCCUUCACCUAAGUGGCCUGCUUUCUCUCCGCCUCGUGAAGAUCCAGCCUAUGGGGAUGCCAGCGCUCGUACUACUAUAGAAUAGGAGCUAUUCCCAACUUAGUAAUAAAUAGUGCCACGCUUAGAACGUUAGCACGAUCUUAGCUAUGCGAGUUUAGUGCUUAGUCGUUUGCUUAGUGUGCUUUGCUUGGUCUGUGUGAGAACUUGAUUUAUUAUUGUGUUAAUGGUGUGAUUUGGUUCUUUGUAAUGAGUGCGAUGAGUGGUGGGUUAUGUCCACAACGCAUCAAGAAUAAGAUUAAGUAUUAAGUUUAUUUGAGAUAGUUUGGGUUAUCAUCGGUCUCCUUUAUUUGUGCCUUAUCAUAUUUCAUAUCGCUUUAUCUUAUCAGUCUUACACUAUCAUGAUCAGUUCAUUAUCUAUAUAUUACAUCUGUUGUGAGUACUGUGUUUAUCAACUGAGACAGGAAAGUAACUAUCAGCUGGGUCAUACUUUGGGGAAAGAUUAUUACAUUGCAGUUUACAUUACAGCUCAGGUUUACACAUAUGAACUACAUCUGAUUUUAUUAUUUCUAUAUAUCAGAUGCCUGUCCACACCAGGAGCAACACCAAUGGAGGAAACAAUGGACAGUCCAACAACAACAACAAUGAUCAGAGCGGGACUAAUGCCAACCCUCCUCCUCCGGGGAAUCAGCCCAUGACCAUAGAACAGUUGAUGACUAUGCAGACUCAACUGAUGCAAGGGAUGGCUCAUAUUAUGAACCACAUGCAGCAGAACCAAAACCAGAAUCAGAACCAACACCAAGGAGGUAACAACGCGUUUGCCCCACCUAGGGACAAGCGUGGAGAGUUCAUGAAGGGACGUCCACCGUUCUUCUCUCACUCAGCUGAUCCUAUGCAAGCUGAGGAUUGGCUUAAAGCUGUGGAGAAGCAGCUGGUUAUUGCUCAGUGCAAUGACAGGGAGAAAGUUCUGUAUGGCUCUGGGCAGCUUCAGGGAGCCGCACAGGACUGGUGGGAUUCAUAUUGCUUUGCACAUCAGGACCCGGAUACUAUCACUUGGGAUGAGUUCAAGGUCGCCUUCAAGACUCAUCAUGUGCCUGCUGGAUUGGUGAAGUUGAAGAAGAAGGAGUUUCUGUCUCUGAAGCAGGGCUCCAUGACAGUUUGUGAGUACCGUGACAAGUUCACUCAGUUGUCGCGGUAUUGCCCCAAUGAAGUGGAGAAUGAUGAAGACAAGUAAGAUCACUUUCUGGAAGGUUUGAAUGAUGGUCUGUCCUACAUGAUGUCGAAUGUCAAGUACGCCAGUUUCCAGGAGAUGGUGGACAGGGCAUUGGUGCUUGAGAGCAAGCGCCGUAAGAUGGAGGACAAGAAGAGGAAGUAUAACUCCUCUCAGCAGCAGGCUGGUGCCAGUUGUCCCCGCUACAACAACCAGCAGGGCCCUCAGUCUCGCCCUGCAUAUCAGUCAGGCAACCAAGGACAGCAACAGAAUGUCAGGUACAGCAACCAGAGUCAGCAGACGAGCCAGCGCUACAACAACAACCAAGUGCAGCGCCCCGCUAGUCAGGCGCCUCGCCAGAAUGCCCCAGCACCAUCAGGCUCUCGCCAGAACUCCAACACUGUCCCAAUGAAGCCCAAUGUCAAUCCCGCCCCCACUGGAAAUACCUGCUUCAAGUGUGGUCAGCUUGGACACUACGCGAAUGCGUGCCCCCAGAGGCAGAGGAAUAACAACAACAAUGGAAGGGUGAAUCAUGUGAAGUUGGAAACUGCGGAGGAGGCUCCAGAUGUGGUAGUUGGUAUGUUUCUUGUCAACUCUUGCCCAGCUACUGUUUUGUUUGAUACUGGAGCAUCACAUACUUUUAUAAGUGCACAGUUUGUUGAGAAACAUAGUAUAGCCACCUGUACCAUGCAAAACACCAUGAUAGUUAAAUCACCUGGGGGAAAGAUGCAUACUAAUACUUUGUGUCCAGAAAUGAGCAUUAAAAUAAGGGGGGUAGAUUUUCCUGUCAAUCCCAUUGUGUUGGGUUCAGAAGGUUUAGAUAUGAUAUUGGGAAUGAGAUGGUUGUCCAAGUUUAAGGGUACUAUUCAGUGUGCUGAGAAGACAGUGGCUCUAACCGCACCUAGUGGGAACAGAAUUGAGGUCAGAGUUUCUAUGUCACCUAGUAGUGAAGGAACAAUUUACCAUCUGAGCAGUGGGUCAGUAGAAGAUAUUCGAGUUGUGAAAGAGUUCCCUGAUGUGUUCCCAGAAGAUUUGCCAGGUAUGCCACCUGAACGUGAGAUUGAAUUUGUUAUUGAUUUAUUACCUGGUACUGCACCCAUAUCUAAGAGACCUUAUAGAAUGGCUGUUAAUGAGUUAGAAGAACUUAAGAAACAACUAAGGGAGUUACAGUCUAAGGGGUAUAUCCGUCCUAGUUCCUCACCUUGGGGAGCUCCAGUUAUCUUUGUAGAGAAGAAGGAUGGGACACAGAGGAUGUGUGUAGACUAUAGAUCUUUGAAUGAGGUCACCAUUAAGAAUAAAUACCCUUUGCCUAGAAUAGAGGACUUGUUUGACCAGUUGAAAGGAGCUUGUGUGUUUUCCAAAAUAGAUCUGAGGUCAGGUUAUCACCAGUUGAGGAUUAAACCUAGUGAUAUUCCAAAGACUGCUUUCACCACCAGAUAUGGACUUUAUGAGUAUACAGUUAUGUCUUUUGGAUUGACGAAUGCUCCAGCUUACUUUAUGUAUCUGAUGAAUAAAGUUUUUAUGGAGUAUUUGGAUAAGUUUGUGGUAGUCUUUAUUGAUGAUAUCUUGAUCUACUCCAAGACUGAGGAAGAACAUGAGGAACACCUGAGACUUGUGUUGCAGAAAUUGAGGGAACAUCAGCUCUAUGCCAAGCUGAGUAAGUGUGACUUCUGGUUGAAGGAAGUGUCUUUUCUUGGUCAUGUCAUUUCAAAUGGUGGAGUUGCUGUUAGUCCGAAGAAUGUGGCAGAUGUUCUUAAGUGGAGUCCACCUCAGACUGUUGGGGAGAUCAGAAGUUUUCUUGGAAUGGCCGGUUACUAUCGGAGAUUCAUUGAGGGAUUUUCCAGUAUUGCCAAGCCCAUGACUGCUUUGUUAGAGAAGGGUAAGCCAUUCAAGUGGAAUGAACAGUGUCAGGCUAGUUUUGAGGAAUUGAAGAAGAGGUUGACUACUGCACCAAUUUUGACUUUGCCAGAUGUGACUAAAAGCUUUUCCAUCUAUUGUGAUGCUUCCAAGCAAGGUUUGGGAUGUGUACUGAUGCAAGAGGGAAAGGUGAUUGCCUAUGCAUCUAGACAGUUGAAGAAACACGAGGUGAAUUAUCCAACUCAUGAUCUUGAGUUAGCAGCUGUGGUCCAUUCACUGAAGAUCUGGAGACACUAUAUUCUGGGUCAUAAGUGUGAUAUCUACACGGAUCACAAGAGUCUGAAAUACAUCUUCACUCAGAAUGACUUAAACCUGAGACAGAGAAGAUGGUUAGAGUUGAUCAAGGACUAUGAACUGGAGAUUCAUUACCACCCUGGCAAAGCUAAUGUAGUUGCUGACGCUCUGAGUAGAAAGAGUCAAGUGAAUAUGAUGGAAGCCACGGAGUUACCGAUGGAACUACUGGCAGAAUUUGAGUAUCUCAAUUUGGGGUUUGUUGCUAAUACCCAAGGUACUUCCAUGGACAUAGAACCAACUCUUGAGCAAGAGAUCAGAAAAGGUCAGAAAGAGGAUGAAGAGAUCAAAAAGAUACUUAAGCUGAUAGAGGAAGGUAGAGCACCUGGAUUCAAAGUUGAUCAAGAAGGGAUUGUUUGGCACAAGGACCGAUUGUGUGUCCCUGAUAUUCAGAGAAUUAAGGAUGUGAUACUGAAGGAGUGCCAUGAAUCUGCUUACUCUAUUCAUCCAGGAGGUACUAAGAUGUAUCAGGACUUGAAGCAAAACUAUUGGUGGCCUGGUAUGAAGAAAGAUAUUGGUGAAUAUGUGGCAUUGUGUGACACCUGUCAGAGAGUGAAAGCGGAACAUCAGAGGCCAGCAGGGUUGUUGCAACCGUUGAAGAUACCUGAGUGGAAGUGGGAUGAGAUCAGCAUGGACUUCAUAGUGGGAUUGCCGAAAACUCAACGAGGUUAUGACUCAAUAUGGGUUGUAGUAGAUCGAUUGACCAAGGUAGCUCAUUUCAUACCGGUCAGAACUAACUACCGUGGGGAUCAGUUAGCAGAAAAGUAUAUGGAACGGAUUGUGUGUCUGCAUGGAGUUCCUAAGAGGAUUGUGUCUGAUAGAGGUACACAGUUUACAUCAAAGUUUUGGGAGAAGCUACAUGAUGCUUUGGGAACCGAGCUCAGAUUCAGUACUGCUUAUCACCCUCAGUCCGAUGGUCAGACAGAGAGAGUCAACCAGAUAGUAGAGGAUAUGCUCAGGUCUUGUGCUUUACAGUAUGGGGAUAGUUGGGAUGCUAGUUUGCCCUACGCUGAGUUCUCCUAUAACAACAGUUAUCAGACUAGUCUUAAGAUGACUCCUUUUGAAGCCUUGUAUGGAAGGAAGUGUAGGACUCCAUUGUUCUGGUACCAGACUGGUGAAAGGCAAGUGUUCGGCCCUGAUUCAUUGAGAAUAGCCGAAGAAAGAGUUCAAUUCAUCCGACAGACUCUGAAGGCAGCUCAGUCUAGACAGAAGAGUUAUGCUGAUGUGAGACGAAGGGAACUUGUAUUUCAGGCAGGUGAUUAUGUAUACCUGAAAGUGUCUCCGAUGAGAGGUCUAAAGAGGUUCAAUGUUAAGGGAAAGCUAGCUCCAAGAUACGUUGGUCCUUUCAAGAUCUUGGAAAGAAAAGGAGAAGUGGCUUAUGAGCUUGAAUUGCCUGCCAGCUUAUCCAAUGUGCACAAUGUCUUCCAUGUCUCCCAAUUCAAGAAAUGUUUGAGAGUGCCUGAGGAACAGUUGCCACUAGAGGAACUGGAUUUACAGGAGGAUCUAACUUAUGAAGAGAGUCCUAUCAAAGUUCUGGACACAGCGGAGAGAAUUACCAGGAGUAAAACUAUCAGGAUGUGUAAAGUACAAUGGAAACACCAUUCCGAGAAAGAAGCAACCUGGGAAAGAGAAGAUGAUCUAAUAUCCAAAUACCCUCAGUUAUUCCCUGGUUCAUCCUAAUCUCGAGGACGAGAUUCUUUUAAGGGGGGUAGGUUUAUAACACUCCAAAUUUUUGAAUUUCAAAUUCAGUUCAAAUUUGAUUUAAUUUUGGCUUAGUUUGAAUUUUUAGAGAAUUAUUAAAUAAUUUACAAAAUUAAUUAAAAUAAAAUAUAAGGUAGAAACGUGUUUGAUUUUUGCAUUCAUGCUGCUGCAUAAUUUUGAUUGAUUUGAUUUAUUUAUUUUGCUGAUGCUUGUUUUGUUUUGUUUUGGAGCAAGAAAAUUUAAAAAAAAAAAGAGAAAGGGGAGAGCCCCCGCCUGGGCCGACUUCCGGCCCAGCACCCCGCGCCCCUCCCCUCUCCCCUCAUGCCCAAGUGGGCCGCGGCCCAAGCCGCACGGCAGCGGCCGGCCCCGCACUCACCCCCCGCUGCUCCCGCCCGCAGUCGCUGACGCGUGGGCCCCGCGAGUGGGACCCACCGCCUUCUUCCACCUCCGGCCGGGACGGACUCGGGGCGCAACCGACGCCCCGGUUUCCGCGCGCGGCGCCCCCAAUCCGAGCCGCACGCGCCCCAAGGAUCGCCGUGCCUUUAAAUAGCCCCCAGCCGCCUGUGGCAGAACCACCCUAAUUAUAUGGCCCACAUGCACUUGACAUUGUCCUUAAGACCUCUGACUACUGCACAUGAGAGUCAUAUAACUUGGAUAGUCUGUCGGGUGCCCUCGGAGGACCCCGAAUCAUCCACAUUUUAACUCGUACAGGAUCAACAUGGAGUUACCACAACAUUACAACAUUUGUUACAAAAAUAACUUACAUCAGAGUGCGGAAGAUUUAUAACUUAAUUUACAACAUAUGAUGAAGUAUAAACUUAACUAAAUUUCCAAAAGGUGUAUAGAGUAGCGGAAGCAUCUUAGGUGAAGCUUCUAAGGUAGAAGAGGUGGAUAAAUCAUGUCGCGCCCACCGACACGACCACCAUUAGCAGACUAAGUCAGCACCUGCAACAGGGGUUAUAAAACCCUGAGUACAAAAGUACUCAACAAGACUUAACCGACUAGAAAAGAGGUGAAGACUCAGGUAUGCAGGCUAUAGGGAUUCAAGGUAAAGCUUUAUCAAGAUAAAGCAUUUCUUUUGCAUAAAAGCUUACUAAGAUUAAACCUACUUUCAAGUUUUAACUCAAGGUUAUCAUUUAUGACUAACCAAAACUAUUAUCAAACUUGCAUAAUCAUACCACAUCUUUCUUAUACCAAAGAUUCACUUGUUACUACGAUGAUGGUGUGAGGAUUGAGGCUCCAUAUCCGAGGAAACACGGCGAUUCGAAUCGAUUAAACCCAGCUGGGGAUUCAGUACCACACGACAUAUGUAGAACUUAAUCUUGCAUAUGUCAACCUGUUUCUAUAGAUCCUCCCAUACAAGAACGGGUCCAGCGUCACCCGAGAGUACAGUACACCACCAUCCUACAGCCAAUCUAGAUGUUUCCCGGUCAUCUCAGAUCCGUAAGGUGGGUACACGCUACUCUCGCCAUCUUUCCACUCCCAGUACGCGGUUAGCCGUUCUCAAGUAUCGGAAUAGCUAUAGGUAAGGCUUACCGCCGCAUGUGGGCUGUACUCAAAGGUCUCAAUCACAACAGGCCAAUCAACGGUACGGUCCUUAAUCGACUCAGUUGGAGACACUACUUUAAGACUCCAUUCUUAAAGCAAGUCCACCGACCGGUCUCAAGUUUAAACAUUAUUAACCAUAACAGUAUACCACAACGACCCUUCAAACUCUUUCAUUUGAAAACUUAUCUAAUAAGCAGGACUAAGCAUACUAAACAUUUUCAUAAAGCAAGUAUCAAGGUAAAUAUUGAAAUCAUCAAGGUAGAUAAUGCAGCAAAUAGGAUUCACUCAACUCCUAUUCACCUAAUGCAUCAUAUUAACUCAAGUGAUAUAGAUAACUUUAUGAAAAUACAAGGAUAGGGUUUAAUGUCCGGGGCUUGCCUUGGUCGGAGGGGACGUUCGGCAACUCAACAACACUCGAAGGAUCCACAAACUCGGAAGAAACCCACUGGGGAUCAGAUUCUUCCGGAGCGUACUCUAUACGUAAAAGUGCAUAUGCAUGAUUAUGAUAUACUCAUGGCAUGAUAAAGACAGGUUACAUGUUCUUGGAUGACAACCAUAAGCAUGACUAUCUCAAGUACAAUUUACCUUCAUGAUAGAGAAACAAACUAAUCUAGCUAUCAAAGCAUGGAUUAUUACUAAGCAAAUUUUAUCAUCUUCAUUAAGCAAUGUUGUGUAGUUAUUAAGCAACAAAGAUCAUUUACAUGAAAGAAUCCUUAACCAGGGAGAAUGUUAUGCUAAGUGACCACUGGUUGUCAAACAAUCUAAAAUAUCACCCAAAUCCUAAAGGGAUUAAUUAUUUCUAUUUCUUUUAUAAGCAUUUAAAUAGCUUUAUUAAGAAACAGAGCAUACUUAAUCAAAAAUAACUGAAAAUAUUUCUGAAGCUAGGUAAUAUUAACACAAGUUCACAUAUUAAAUUUCAUGCCAUUUGAAUAAGUAUAGCAGUUUCCAUGAAAAAGAUAAAUUUCCAUCACAAGAAAGCAUGUAACAACAAGAUAAAUAAGAAACUCGACAUUUUCUACAAACACAUAGCUAAAUUAUGUAUCUAUAUGAUAUAACAAUUUCAUAUAAAGGUAGAGGAACCAUAUUUUACAUUUAUUCCUUUUUAGUUUAAUUGUAAAUUAUUUAAUAAGCACUACACAAGAUAAAUCAAUAACUUAAUCAUAUGUCAUCUACUGAACAUGAAAUUUUUACUGCAACAUUCAAAUAACAUCAUGAGAACACCAUAAAAAUUUCAGGGCAAUAGGAUCUACACAGAAUAAGAUAUGAAUUUCUCCCUUUUAAACAUAAUUAAAAGGCAUAAAUCAUAACCAAUUAUUUUACUACAAAACAUGAUCAGUUUCAUAUUUUUAAUAAAAACUAGACAUCUCAAGGAGCACAACAAAAUUUGGUUCACCAAAAUUGGAGUUGCCAAACUCCAGAUAUGAAUUUUCAAAGAUCUAACAAAACAUCUACAAACAGGUCCUGAUGGCACUAUUCACCCGAGUCACGAACUUCGCAGUUAGACCCUUGCCUUGUGUCGAAUUCCAACGCGAAGUCCCUGGCGCGAAAUGGAAACAGAGGAGGCGCGCGGGAAAGCCGGAUUUCCGACCGGCGACCGUCUGUUGGCGACAAGGGAGAGGUACUGGAGCAUGGUUGGGCCUAUGUGCACCCUCUGGUGACCACGGCUUGCUGCGAGAAGGCCUGAGGUGGCAUGGCCACGGUGAGGUGCUCCUCGGCGGCGCUUUUGGCCGGAAUGGAGGAAGAACGGACGUAGCCGGGGCUAGAGAUGGUUAGAGCUUGCAUCAAGGGGGCGCGAAUGGUUGCUGAGACCUUGGUAAAGCUGCUGGGGUGCUCUGGUGGCUUAGAAAGGAAGUGGGAGAGGUGAAUUUUUGCGGGCGCAGGGAGCUCACCGGCGUUGAGCGAAAGGAAGAAGAGAGGGUUGCAGUGAGGUGCGAGCCAUGGGAAGAAGUGGAUGAGGACGCCAGGAGCUCGGCCACUUCACCGCGACCGUAAGCAGGCGAGCAGCUGCGUGGCUGGGUGCGUGGCGGCGUCCUGAGCAGCAGUGUCUGCCGCGGCGGCAGUGCAGCCCGUGAUCCUCAUCGGUUACUGUAGCAGGCUUUAUCCAACCAGUUUUGUGGUUUUGCAAAAUUCGUCCAAAUUUUGAACUGAAGACAAAAUUCCACCAAAACAAAAGUUAUUCAGAAUUUUACAAACUACAAAUCUUCUUUUGGUGACCAAAGCCAAUUCUGGGUGGAAAAUGACGAAUUUGACAAAACAGUUUGAAUUUCAAAUCCCAAAUUGGGGAAAUUCCAAAUUUUGAAUUGGAGCAGAUUAGAAUUUCCAAAAUUACUUUUGAUUUUCCAAAACAACUUGAAAAACUCCCAACAUGAAAGUUGUUCAACUUUUCAAGCCCUACAACUCUCAUGUUGACCAUUUUUCAAAAUUCCAAACAGAUUUUGAAUUGGAGAUUUAAGUUUGAAAAGGGGACACUUUCCGGAAAUCUGUAUUUUCAAAAUUACUUUGAAUUUUGUACUGAAACUUCAAAAACUCAAAACACCAAAGUUGUACAUCUUGACAAGAUCUACAACUUUGCUUUUGAACUCAACUUCAAAUUUUGCUUAGUUUUUAAAUUACACAAAAGGGGACAAAUCUAGGGUUUCCCCCCUAAGCCUUUCGGAAAAACUUUCACCCAAGGUUUUUAAAUUCCAAAACAAACAUCCAUACAUAAAAUAAACACACUUUACUUCCUAAACACAUUCAACCAAAAUAACCUUAUUUUAAGUUGAUGCAUAAUAAUGUGCUCAACAAUUAUGCUUUGCAAUGCUUAUGAUGACAUGAUCCAGUUUUAGUAUUCGUAACAUCAGGGAUGUUACAGCCCUUCCCCCUUAAAGAAAUCUCGUCCCGAGAUUUCCAGGGUACUAAAACCCGUGGGGUUAAGUAAUGGAAAAGGAAAUGUGUCAAGCACAUUAACUUCUGAGAAGUUCAUAAAACAAUUACAAUUGGUCCGAGAAUUACAACUAAGAUCAACAGAAUGUUGUAAUCAAUAAGGAAUGUUAGAGAAUUCAUAAGAAGAUAUGAAUCUCCAAAUGAGCUUCCAAGGAGAAUGAAAGCACACUAACUGUAGACUAUAGCGGAGCAUGACCAGAGAUCCCGAUGUUUAACGAGCACCUAGUAGUAUUUCCUUAUGGCUGCAGUCCACAGGAGACUACAAGGUUCGACGCUAUAACGUGAUCACGGAUCAUGGUACCUACUAUAGAGUACGGUUAUAAUAGCUUUCAAUGACCUAUGUUGGUUAUCUAAGUCAGGGGUUUUAGGUAAUUCCAAAGAGAUAUGGGCAUGGAUUCCCAUAAUAUUGUUCAAAGAGUGAGGUCACCUAAGUUGUGGGUCUAUAAGGGAUCAUGAUCAUAGACUUUGAUAACAGCGAGCGCCCGGCAGUAUUUCCUUAUGGUCGCGAGCCAUAGGAGACCCCAGGUUUCGGCGUUGUUACCUAAGUUAUGGGUCAUGGUACCUUAAGAGGACACAAUCAUAGUGACAUUCAAUCAACAGAAAUGUUGACAAAUGACAUCAAGGAGGUAGCAUGUGUCCGAAUUAGAUGAAAUCAAGGAAGGUCACAUGCAUAACAAAUGAAUCAAGGAUUAGGAUCUUAUGGAGUAAAAGAUUAUCAAUCAGUUAACGAAACCUGGUACAUGAUGAGAUUCAUCAAUAAAACAGCUAUACCGAAUAAUAACUGUUUUGAAGCAUAAGGAGGGGCUUUUAUGUAUCAUUAUAUUUGUCAUGUUAUGCUUGAUAUGCAAUAUGCUCGCCUAUACGUCUUUACAACGUUAGCUAGGAGAUAAUUGCUUAUAUAGGGCAUACUUUAUACACUAUCUUUAUUGCUUCAAAAGGGAGGCUGCAAGACUGUUGACAAAGCAUUGUUGGAGUAGUUUGAUUCUUCACUUGGCUUGUCGAAGACUUGAAGCCUCUUUUAAUGUCUUCUAUUUGAGUCAGCAGAAAGUCUUCGUAGAACCCGAACAGCAAGCAUAAGAAAAGUUAAGGAAUAUUUAUAAGUUGUUAUCCUCAAAAACUUUUAAUUUGUAAAUUUCUUUUGAACUUUUCACAAUUAAUGUUGUAGAAGAUCCAUGUAUGAGCUCUGAUACCAGCUGUGGCAGAACCACCCUAAUUAUAUGGCCCACAUGCACUUGACAUUGUCCUUAAGACCUCUGACUACUGCACAUGAGAGUCAUAUAACUUGGAUAGUCUGUCGGGUGCCCUCGGAGGACCCCGAAUCAUACACAUUUUAACUCGUACAGGAUCAACAUGGAGUUACCACAACAUUACAACAUUUGUUACAAAAAUAACUUACAUCAGAGUGCGGAAGAUUUAUAACUUAAUUUACAACAUAUGAUGAAGUAUAAACUUAACUAAAUUUCCAAAAGGUGUAUAGAGUAGCGGAAGCAUCUUAGGUGAAGCUUCUAAGGUAGAAGAGGUGGAUAAAUCAUGUCGCGCCCACCGACACGACCACCAUUAGCAGACUAAGUCAGCACCUGCAACAGGGGUUAUAAAACCCUGAGUACAAAAGUACUCAACAAGACUUAACCGACUAGAAAAGAGGUGAAGACUCAGGUAUGCAGGCUAUAGGGAUUCAAGGUAAAGCUUUAUCAAGAUAAAGCAUUUCUUUUGCAUAAAAGCUUACUAAGAUUAAACCUACUUUCAAGUUUUAACUCAAGGUUAUCAUUUAUGACUAACCAAAACUAUUAUCAAACUUGCAUAAUCAUACCACAUCUUUCUUAUACCAAAGAUUCACUUGUUACUACGAUGAUGGUGUGAGGAUUGAGGCUCCAUAUCCGAGGAAACACGGCGAUUCGAAUCGAUUAAACCCAGCUGGGGAUUCAGUACCACACGACAUAUGUAGAACUUAAUCUUGCAUAUGUCAACCUGUUUCUAUAGAUCCUCCCAUACAAGAACGGGUCCAGCGUCACCCGAGAGUACAGUACACCACCAUCCUACAGCCAAUCUAGAUGUUUCCCGGUCAUCUCAGAUCCGUAAGGUGGGUACACGCUACUCUCGCCAUCUUUCCACUCCCAGUACGCGGUUAGCCGUUCUCAAGUAUCGGAAUAGCUAUAGGUAAGGCUUACCGCCGCAUGUGGGCUGUACUCAAAGGUCUCAAUCACAACAGGCCAAUCAACGGUACGGUCCUUAAUCGACUCAGUUGGAGACACUACUUUAAGACUCCAUUCUUAAAGCAAGUCCACCGACCGGUCUCAAGUUUAAACAUUAUUAACCAUAACAGUAUACCACAACGACCCUUCAAACUCUUUCAUUUGAAAACUUAUCUAAUAAGCAGGACUAAGCAUACUAAACAUUUUCAUAAAGCAAGUAUCAAGGUAAAUAUUGAAAUCAUCAAGGUAGAUAAUGCAGCAAAUAGGAUUCACUCAACUCCUAUUCACCUAAUGCAUCAUAUUAACUCAAGUGAUAUAGAUAACUUUAUGAAAAUACAAGGAUAGGGUUUAAUGUCCGGGGCUUGCCUUGGUCGGAGGGGACGUUCGGCAACUCAACAACACUCGAAGGAUCCACAAACUCGGAAGAAACCCACUGGGGAUCAGAUUCUUCCGGAGCGUACUCUAUACGUAAAAGUGCAUAUGCAUGAUUAUGAUAUACUCAUGGCAUGAUAAAGACAGGUUACAUGUUCUUGGAUGACAACCAUAAGCAUGACUAUCUCAAGUACAAUUUACCUUCAUGAUAGAGAAACAAACUAAUCUAGCUAUCAAAGCAUGGAUUAUUACUAAGCAAAUUUUAUCAUCUUCAUUAAGCAAUGUUGUGUAGUUAUUAAGCAACAAAGAUCAUUUACAUGAAAGAAUCCUUAACCAGGGAGAAUGUUAUGCUAAGUGACCACUGGUUGUCAAACAAUCUAAAAUAUCACCCAAAUCCUAAAGGGAUUAAUUAUUUCUAUUUCUUUUAUAAGCAUUUAAAUAGCUUUAUUAAGAAACAGAGCAUACUUAAUCAAAAAUAACUGAAAAUAUUUCUGAAGCUAGGUAAUAUUAACACAAGUUCACAUAUUAAAUUUCAUGCCAUUUGAAUAAGUAUAGCAGUUUCCAUGAAAAAGAUAAAUUUCCAUCACAAGAAAGCAUGUAACAACAAGAUAAAUAAGAAACUCGACAUUUUCUACAAACACAUAGCUAAAUUAUGUAUCUAUAUGAUAUAACAAUUUCAUAUAAAGGUAGAGGAACCAUAUUUUACAUUUAUUCCUUUUUAGUUUAAUUGUAAAUUAUUUAAUAAGCACUACACAAGAUAAAUCAAUAACUUAAUCAUAUGUCAUCUACUGAACAUGAAAUUUUUACUGCAACAUUCAAAUAACAUCAUGAGAACACCAUAAAAAUUUCAGGGCAAUAGGAUCUACACAGAAUAAGAUAUGAAUUUCUCCCUUUUAAACAUAAUUAAAAGGCAUAAAUCAUAACCAAUUAUUUUACUACAAAACAUGAUCAGUUUCAUAUUUUUAAUAAAAACUAGACAUCUCAAGGAGCACAACAAAAUUUGGUUCACCAAAAUUGGAGUUGCCAAACUCCAGAUAUGAAUUUUCAAAGAUCUAACAAAACAUCUACAAACAGGUCCUAAUGGCACUAUUCACCCGAGUCACGAACUUCGCAGUUAGACCCUUGCCUUGUGUCGAAUUCCAACGCGAAGUCCCUGGCGCGAAAUGGAAACAGAGGAGGCGCGCGGGAAAGCCGGAUUUCCGACCGGCGACCGUCUGUUGGCGACAAGGGAGAGGUACUGGAGCAUGGUUGGGCCUAUGUGCACCCUCUGGUGACCACGGCUUGCUGCGAGAAGGCCUGAGGUGGCAUGGCCACGGUGAGGUGCUCCUCGGCGGCGCUUUUGGCCGGAAUGGAGGAAGAACGGACGUAGCCGGGGCUAGAGAUGGUUAGAGCUUGCAUCAAGGGGGCGCGAAUGGUUGCUGAGACCUUGGUAAAGCUGCUGGGGUGCUCUGGUGGCUUAGAAAGGAAGUGGGAGAGGUGAAUUUUUGCGGGCGCAGGGAGCUCACCGGCGUUGAGCGAAAGGAAGAAGAGAGGGUUGCAGUGAGGUGCGAGCCAUGGGAAGAAGUGGAUGAGGACGCCAGGAGCUCGGCCACUUCACCGCGACCGUAAGCAGGCGAGCAGCUGCGUGGCUGGGUGCGUGGCGGCGUCCUGAGCAGCAGUGUCUGCCGCGGCGGCAGUGCAGCCCGUGAUCCUCAUCGGUUACUGUAGCAGGCUUUAUCCAACCAGUUUUGUGGUUUUGCAAAAUUCGUCCAAAUUUUGAACUGAAGACAAAAUUCCACCAAAACAAAAGUUAUUCAGAAUUUUACAAACUACAAAUCUUCUUUUGGUGACCAAAGCCAAUUCUGGGUGGAAAAUGACGAAUUUGACAAAACAGUUUGAAUUUCAAAUCCCAAAUUGGGGAAAUUCCAAAUUUUGAAUUGGAGCAGAUUAGAAUUUCCAAAAUUACUUUUGAUUUUCCAAAACAACUUGAAAAACUCCCAACAUGAAAGUUGUUCAACUUUUCAAGCCCUACAACUCUCAUGUUGACCAUUUUUCAAAAUUCCAAACAGAUUUUGAAUUGGAGAUUUAAGUUUGAAAAGGGGACACUUUCCGGAAAUCUGUAUUUUCAAAAUUACUUUGAAUUUUGUACUGAAACUUCAAAAACUCAAAACACCAAAGUUGUACAUCUUGACAAGAUCUACAACUUUGCUUUUGAACUCAACUUCAAAUUUUGCUUAGUUUUUAAAUUACACAAAAGGGGACAAAUCUAGGGUUUUGAAAACUAGGGUUUCCCCCCUAAGCCUUUCGGAAAAACUUUCACCCAAGGUUUUUAAAUUCCAAAACAAACAUCCAUACAUAAAAUAAACACACUUUACUUCCUAAACACAUUCAACCAAAAUAACCUUAUUUUAAGUUGAUGCAUAAUAAUGUGCUCAACAAUUAUGCUUUGCAAUGCUUAUGAUGACAUGAUCCAGUUUUAGUAUUCGUAACAUCAGGGAUGUUACACCGCCGCUCGCGAACCCCCCCUAGAACCCUAGCUUCGAAAUCCGCGCCGCCGCCGUUCUCGCCAAGCUCGCGCCGCCGCCGUUGAUACCGCCGCCGUCGAGCUUCUCUUUGACUUCGUCGUUUCGCGGAGGUGAGCUCGUCAUCGCGCUCGUCGUGACGCGCCGACCCCGCCCGUGCCCUCGGCACGCUCCCCCGUGCCCUGCAGCACCGCCGCCGAAGCUCCGGGCGGCGCCAAUGGCGCCACCGCCGCCGCCGGCCGCCCCUGCGCUCCGCACCGGCGCGCGGUCCACCGUGGACCGCGGCCCUGCGCCCCCGUGCGGCCGGUCCACUGGACCGGGUCCAGGAGGCCGCCCCCCGCCGCUCCGCAGGCGCGGUCCACCAUGGACCGCGGCCUUUCCCCCCCCCCCGCGCCCCGGUCCACAGCACAGUGCCGUGGACCGGCCACUCCCGAGCCGCCACGUGGCCGAGCCGGCCAGCACCCACGCGCGCCCCUGCACGUUUUGCAAAAAGGCCCCUGUUUUUAUUUAAAAUUAACCCGCUAUCCUAUGCAGUUUAAAAUAAUUAUGUUUAUGCCCUUAGUUUUCGCAGUUUAACCCCUGGCUCGGUUAGAAUUUAUUUAUUUAGUCCAAAAUGAGUUUUAAUUCAGUUUUUAAUUAGUUUUAAUUACGAAAAAUAGUUCAGUUUAUCUACAGAAAUGCCAUUCAACUUGUUUUAGCCAUAACUUUUGCAUCGUGACUCCGAUUUAGGUGAUUCUGGUCGCUAUGGUUUCGUUUCGUCGAGUAGAAUACAGUAAUGCAGUUGCUUUUUGUUUCCGCAUGCUUUGGUGUACUGUUUCUGAUUAAGUUUGUUUGCUUGCAUGUAUUGUUCCUAUGAUUGAUGAUUGUCGCGUAUAGCCAACGAGACGUUCGUGAAGGAAGAGGUUCAGGAUCCCGCUGAGUUCGAGCAACCCGACUUCGAUCAAGGCAAGUGCAGACACCGUUUGAUCAUUUUGAACCUACUCAUUAAUGCCAUUUACUUUAUAUGCAUGUGUCCAAUGAAUGCAAACCCUAAGGACAUGACUAGCUUUGCUUAUUAUUCCUUGCUCACCUGGGGUUAUGUAUUUGGGUAGACUAGGCUAUACUAGGUCUGCUUAGCUGCUCUACUCAUCUUAUACACAUGUCUAAACAAGAAUUACUCUCUCUCUACUUAACUUGAUGCUUAAACUGUGCUGAAUCUUUGGUCACUGCGGUGAUGGCGAUGUUGGAUGCUUGCGAGCAUCGUGAUGAUGGUGGUGACAGGGGGAGCGGGUACCGUUGGUGGUCCGGUUUGCCGGGCGUACCCGUCUCUGCUCUCCGUAAGGACUUAGUCAGGGAGCGGCCCCCCUGGGACUUACAGUGCAGCUCCAAGCUAUAUGGCUCUGGCUUGACUAAUUAGCAGGACCUCCACUAGUAGGGUGUUACUUUCCGGGUAGGCGUGAGGAAGUAACUUGGGUAAUGAAUAUUAAGUUGUCGGUUGAUCGGUACGCCAUGGCUAUGGGUAUCGACUGCCGAGCGCCCCGACAAAAACUUGCGAGUGGCAUCCUAUUAGUUGGACCCUGUGAAAGGUCUCGUAGUGAGACCCUGCCUGCUCACCUUGGAAGUGUUUUGGGGAGUCGCGACCCCGGGCAAAUGGGAAUCACGACUUGGAGUGAACGUGCACACCUCUGCAGAGUGUAAAACUGAUAUAUCAGCCGUGCUCACGGUCACGAGCGGCCCAGACCCUCACUUGAUGAGCAAAUUGGAUUCACUGGUUACUUGGAGAUGGACCUUGGCGAGGUUGCUACCUCGUGUUUUGGCGGAAUGGCUAUUCCGUGAUGGCAGGAUUGCUAUCCUGUGGUAAUAAUUGGGGUUAAUCCCUGGAUUACUAUAAUAGUUAGGAUAGUCAUUUAAAAGAUGCUAAUUACUACUUACACUAAUUAAGGGUUGGGUUUAUACUACUCAUAUUUAGUAAUAGGUUGUUCUAGUAAUUGUUAUAAUUAAAAGCGAUCAACUAAAAUGCUACCGCAGUCAAACCAAGUCAACUUUACCUUGUUUUAAGCCUUGCAUGUCAUUACUUUCCGUCUGUGCUUGCUGAGUUCGACAUGAGCUCACCCUUGCUAUAAUCAUUAAAGGUUGCUCGGACGAUCAGGAGUACAAUUGCGAUUUCCCUGAGGACUACCCUGAGUCUCCUGGUUGUUAGGCUCGUGUGGUUCUGCCGUCGACCUUCCUGUGGCAAGGUGGUCCUGCUACGUCGGCGUUUAGUUUUCCCUUUAUUUAUGGAACAGUUUAGUUUAUGUUUCCCCUCCGCACUUUGAUAAACAUUUGGCUUGUAAUAAUGGUACUUUUACUCUCAUUUAUGUAAUUCGUUUGAACACUGUGUUUUGUACCAUUGAUGAUGUCGGUCCAUGUGUGUGAAUUUGAGAUCCUGGCGCACAUGUGAUUUGGCACCCGAAUGCUCUUUUACAUCCGGGUGUGACAUCGCGAGAUAAAUCUUUUAAGCCUAGUUAGUCCAUAAUUGAACAAUAUUUGCCAAAAAAACGAAAGUGCUACAGUAUCCGAAAACUUUUCAUUUUGCCAACUAAACAAGGCCUAUGCUACAUGGGCAUCACCACUCUUUGCUUGUACCGUCUUGUUCGUUUGAGCUUAUCAGCCGAAUCUGUCAGUCAUUCAACAAUGUUUUUCUCUCAUAAUAAGCCAACAAUACUUUUUGUCAUAUCUUAUUAGCCAAACAAACAAGGCUUGCAAAAUUUCUCUGUUACAGACAAAAGGUUCUGUGAACUAUAAAUCAACAAUGUAGCAUUUAUAUACCUUAUUAGAUGGCCCCUUUCAAUGAGAACACAAGUUUUAUAGACUUAGAGCAACUCCAACGGCUUGGCAAAAUUUAGUAGUCAGAUUCUAUUUGUUUAGCAACUUUGUCAAAUAGAAAACUUUUGAAAAAGAAGAGGUCUAUAACAGCUUUGCUAUUUUACAAAAUUAGAUAGCUAAUGUCACUGGUUGGCUAUAUAUAGCCACCGAAAAUCAAGAGAUAGCCAAGUUUGUAUUUUACAAAACCAGAUAGCACAUCUGUUCGAACCACCUACAUUUUAGGAGCGGAUCUGCAGCCCAGGCCUAGUCGUUGGCCCAAUAACAUCAUAUAUCCUAUGUAAACUUUUAGCCCAACAAGGCAACAACCAAGGCCCAACACAUAACUGGCCUUAGCUCCAAGGCCUUGUUUACUUCCAGCCCAAAAUCUAAAAAAAAAUUCAAAAUUCUUCAUCAAAUUGAAUUUUUAGACAAAUUCUUCAACAACCAAGGCCCAACGCAUGGAGUAUUAAAUAUAGACAAAAAUAAAAACUAAUUACACAGUUUGGUCAAAAUUUAUAAGACAAAUCUUUUAUGCAUAGUUAGUCCAUAAUUAGACAAUAAUUAUCACAAACAAACGCAAAAUCAUGAACUAAAGACGGCCUAAAACUCUCACCUGUCUGUCUGUCUCCCAGUCCCUACUACGCCACACCAGCGUAUGCCCCACGACCCGCCAUAGUCACGCACGAGGGGAGGGCAGAAGGUGAGGAAUUGGCCGCCACUGACCGCUACGUCGCACGCAGCUGGAUCCCAGAGCCGCCCAUCCCGCCGGCAUCCCCAACUUCUUUCGCCAUUCCGCGUCCACGGCUUCCGCUUCCGUCUUGCUGAUGGUCGCCAGCCCCUAGACACUAGGUAUUUAUUUUCAUCUCAACAUAUGUGUCUGCAACAUUCUUACCAUCCUAGAGGCCUAGUCUUGAGUAAAACCGGGCUCUGCCACCGCUACUUUUUGCUAUGCAAAUUCUAAAACAACCUCCACAACAAGAAUAACCAAGCUGUUGGAGUUACUCUUAAAUGCCAGCAAUUGUAAAAGCUUGUUGUGACACUACUCUGGUAGACAAAGGUAACUUGUGUUUCUUUGCUUCAAUUAGCAGAACCAUUUAAGUACGAUAUGUAGACAGCAGGUGGUGCAUAUCAGUGUUCAUUGUCAGGUGGUUUAGUACAAAGCAUUAUCGAAACUUCACGCACUCCGCAUAACACUGAAGGCAGCAUUGCAGAUGCAAAGUAUUCAUAGCUUGAAGAAUAAAUAUAACCAAGUAAUCAUGAUGCAUAAAUAAUAAUUAGCUAAUUUGGACGCCACCAUCUCAUCAGCUAGAAUGGUUGUAUUAGGGAAAAAAAUUAUACAGUUUGUACCGAGGCUACGAGAUCAAGAGCUUUUUCUGUGCUGAAGCAUAAUGAACCUGGAUGAUGAUAUAGAUCCUUUCAAUCGAGAUGGCAAUGGUUGUCAUACUUGAGUACUCAACUACUCCAGUGGCAAUAGCCAUCUAGAGAAUUGCUAGCAGGUUCACAUGUUCAGUGUCAAGAGAAAUUGCAUGCAAAAAAACCAAAAUAACUCAACUCACCAUGAUGGCAUGAUGCAUAAAUAAUUAGGUACUUUGGAUGCCACAAUCUCAUCAGUUAGAACGGUUGCAUUAGGAAAUUAUAAAAAAUGAAUACAUAUGCAGGUAAUUAGGGAGUUGAGUAUGCCACUGCAAGAGGUACAAUGUUCCAAUAGAAACAGCCUACAGAACCGUACAGAAAUCAAAGAGGUCAUUGUAGUUUGUUAAGGCAACAGAAAGUUCUAGUUUUCUAUACCAUAAAAAAGAAAUCCUGAUUAGCAAACCAUCCAACCAUCAAAUUAACAUGCUGAGAUUAUUAGUACCUUGUUGCAGCCGACCUUGAAACUGAACAGGGUUGAUCUGUUUUUUCAGCAAGCAUGCUCUGACCAUGCACCCGAUAAAAUACUGCGUUUCUGAACAUUAUCUAUUUGAAGAAUUAAUAAUCUGUAGUGCGUCAUCCUCAUGUCGAUAAGAUUAGUUACACAGUAAACCGACUGAUAUUUGGUUGGAUGUACACUGAUCAUGUGUUUGAGCACAGAAGCUGAGAAGCAGAAACAUCGAUGGAUCGAUAAGAUUCUUUGUUGCAGUUGAAAAACCUUCAAAAAUAUUUAAGUCGGUUCCAAACUUAUGAACUGAAUAUAUAUCAUCAACGGGGGAUGAUGUAUAUGCAGAACCAAGCCGUCGUAAGGUACAACUGGUGGUACGUGGCCAACAAAUCUAUGAUCUUGUCAGCCUGUACCAUGUAACAAAAGCAUACGGUGAGCCUCAUAGCAGAGGUUAAAAAAAGACUUGCCAACAAAGUAACAUUCAUGACAGAGCACAGCGGAAAAAGUAGUGUGUAAAUGCCAUGUAUAAGUGGCUUCGUAUUCUUUCCAUUUUUCAUGACUGCUAGCAAAGAAUGGGUUGUAGACUUGGACAACAUUUGUAUUGCGAUAUGGCAGAACAUGCAUGAAGCGGAGGCUCUACACUAAUCUGUAAGUCAGCAAGAAUUGCAUAAACAGAAUCAACAUUUAGGUUAACUGGAAACCGAAGAAUGACAAUUUGUAAGAAGUAUCGUAGCACACCAUGAUCACCGGAUUCAUUGUUUUUUGUGAAAAUUGCCAGGAAAAACAAGGUAUGACCUGUUAUGUCAACAUGGUAUGAAUGGUAACUGUACAAAUGAUGAUUAUGGGAGCAGUUAUUAAGAAAUCAUAAAAACUAAAACAAUAUUAGCGAAAAAAAUACCUGUUUAGGUUCAGCUCGUUGAUCAAACAUACCCGUGCACGUCUCCAUCACAUUCUCGUUGUCGGCAUGCGCUAUCUGGUAAAUUAAGGAUGAGCUAUAAAUGGGUAUCCACAGUUCUUCUCUAGUCUAACCUAUUUAAGUAAAUGAACGAGACAGACACGGUGGUUGGAACCUUGGAGGAAAAUGCAAGAUCGUGUGGCCUAUGGUUUGCGCUUCAAAAUACUACGGCGGCUUGGGUCUGCCAAACAUGAGUCCUCGGGUUCACCCUUCGCCUCCAUUCGGACUGGCAGAAGAGGGUUGCAGAUGCGCCACCAUGGACCAAGCUGCCGUCCAAACUAGAGAAGCUUCUGAGCAUGUUCAGCUGCUCCGUCGUGGUCGAGCUUGGCCAUGGUGCUUCGGCUCGCAUCUGGACUGAUUCUUGGCUGCCAGUCAGGUCAAUUGCGACCUUUGCCCCGCACUUGUUUCGCACCAUUGGUCGUUGCUUUCUAUUGGUAUCCAUCAAGGAGGUGCUCUCCGGUCACCAUUACUGCGUCACAUCUCCGGGGCACACACCACGCCAGUGUUGUAUGAGUUUGUUGAUCUCUGGCAAAAGCUGGAGGACGUCCAGUUGCAACCGCUUGUGAGUGACCGCUUUAAUUGGCGAUGGACGCCACAUAGCACGUACUCAGCGUCCUCAGCAUAACGCUCAUUCUGGGCAUGUCCUCCCUGUUGGGAGCCAAGGAACUUUGGGAAGCUUCCGCGCCGCCAAAGGUGAAACUCUUCUGCUGGUUAGCCCUGCAUGGUUGCAUCUGGACGGUGUUAGGUUGAUCUCUGCCAACCCAAGUCCAAAGAAUGCCCCGGACCCUUGACCUCGUCCUGAUCGGGGGCGUCCAGCCCAAUGACUUGGCUGGUGGGCACCCGUUGCAGUGUAUAAAGAGAGGGUGGGGGCUAGGGCACAAGGUACGACGUUCAUCGCUACAGUGCCGUGAGUCCCCACCCUAACCCUAUACCGAUCCAAAGGGAAGCACUGCCAGCGACGGGAAGUCCGCUGCCGCGACUGCCUUGGACAACGUGCUUCUCUGCGAAGGUAAGGUUAGGUAUCUCUCUCAUCCUCUCGUCCUCACUUCCUCUCUGGAUCCAAGAUGUUCUAUGUUAUUUAUCCCAAAUGGAAAAGCGGAUUCCCCACUGAUCUACACUCUAGACGAUCUAAGAAUAUAACAAAUGGUAUCGGAGCCAAGGUUACCGUCGCGCGAGGCACCGCCCUCGCGCGGGCAAUGUGAGAAGAGAAAGAAAUCGGAUGAAUCCCAAACAUAAUGAAAGAAUCUUAACCUAAAUCCUAACGCUCGAUUAGGGUUUCGGUAAGAACUAACAGAGUAGGGAGGGAUCCGAUACGGUCGGAUCCUACCCCUAACCUUAGAAGGGAAAGAAGACGACGGAGAGGAUGGAUCCUACCUAGGGCCCACCUUGCUGCCGGCCGUCAAUCGACGCCGCGUAGAAGAACCGCGCCGCCUCUUCAUCGGCGUGCGCGUAGCUAAGCUGCACCGUCGUGGAAUUAUUCGACGGACGCGUGCUCGUCCUCGUGGGGAACGCGCUCGCCGACGAAUGACUCCAUGGCGGCGCCGCCGUUUCUCCUCUCCGGUCAUCACCGGCGGCCGGCUCCUGCUGCUGUUUUUUGCGGCGUGGGAGAGAGGAGAGGAACCAGAAAAGAAAAGAAAGGAAGGAAAGAAGGGGAGGGCCAGGGGCGCUCUCCCUCGGCGCUCUCUCCCCACCGGCGCUGAUCGCGGCCGGGAUCCAUGUCUGCCGCCGCGAAAGAAACAGAGGGAAAAAGAAUGGACUAGGGUUUAGGGAAGUCACCGGCUCAGGGUUUUUGUUUGCCGAGAUUGAAGAACGACCGUCGAUCUCGAUCGGACGGUGCAUAACAGCUGGACUGGGGCCCAAGAGGGUAACCGAAUUCCCGGCCCAGGCCCAGGUUGCGGCCUCGGCACGGGGAGAGCCGCUCGCCAUCUCCGCCGAUGGGUCGGCCUGCUUCGCCGACGCACGGGUCCCGGGCUGGGGUGGAAGGUGGCCGCGGGCCACUGCUGUGCCGCAGCAACAAUCGUGCGCAGGGGGAAAGAGAGAAGACCAUGGACUUUUCUCAAAAAAAAAAGAGAGAAGACCAUGGACCGGCCAGCCUGGGCCACGAGCUCUAACUAGGCCAUGGGGAGAGGAAAGGGGAGCGCGAGCUGCUAGAGAUUUUCGUUUUUCUAUUUUCCAGAAGCAAAUUUUGAAUGCAGUUUUGAAUAAAAUUGUAUAGUUUUGAUGCUAUUUUCUGUACAAAUAUUGUCCAAAGAUAAUUUUUCACAGAAAAUAGUAAAGUAUCUUAAAGAGUUUCUAGAAAAUAAAAUUAAGAGUAUACUAAAGUUUUCGCUGCGUACUUAUAAUUAUUUAUUUAUUUUUUCAUUGUUAAAGUCGAAGUAAAGGGAGAGUUUAAUUUUGAAAAAUAAAACAAAUACAGAUUAUUAUAAUAUUGUAAUUGUUCUAACCAAAGUUUAUUAAUAGCAAUAUUAUGAUGUUAUUAUGGUUUUUUGUCAUGCAUUAAUUCUAUUUUUGGCCAAAGGUAAUGUAGAAUUAGUGUAAAAGAAUUAAUUGUAUGUUAUAAUCUAAUGUGGAGAGCAGUUACAAAUAUUCAAUAAAUUAUAAUAUUUUUAUUUUCUGAGCAAAGUUGAUGAUAAAAAUAUUAUAAGUUAUGUUUAAAGUUUAAAUCUCUGAUGAAUUUUGCAUGAAAGUGACCAAUUUGUUAGAAAAUGGAUAAAGAUUUAGAAAUGUUCCUGAAAAUAGAAAAUAGUAGUAUUUUUCACAUUUUCGUUGUAGAGAUUAUUAUGAUACUGUCCUUUUCUGAGCAAAGUUUUCAAUAGUAAUGUCAUGAUAUUGUUUAUCAAUUAUAUAUAGUAAUGUCAUGAUAUUGUUUAUCAAUUAUAUGCAUUAAUUCUAUUUGUACCCAAGGGUGAUUUAGAACUGAUGUAGAAGAAUCAUGACAUUGUUUAUCAGUUAUAUGCAUUAAUUCUAUUUCUGCCCAAAGGUGAUUUAGAAUUGAUGUAGAAUGAUGAUUUAUUCUAUUUCUAUCCAAAGGUGAUUUAGAAUAUAAAAAGAAAGAUUUAAAAUUUUAAUGUGCAUGUCUUUAACCGGGUUAUUUUCAUGCUCCUUAUUUUCAUGCUCAUUAAUAUAAAAGGAUCUGCUACCUCGCUUUCUUAAAAGCAGAGGCUUUGCCUCCUUUGCCUCCUUUUUUUAAAAGAAAAAGGACAUCUUUGGAACUAAACAAGGCCUUACACGAGGAUGAGUCAAUACAACAAUUAUUGUUUAACCAUAAACUAACUAGACUCAAAAGAUCGUGUCUUAUAAAUUACAGAGAAAUUGUGCAAUUAGUUAUUAUUUUUAUCUAUAUUUAAUACUCCAUACAUGUGUUGAAAGAUUUAUUUAAUGUAAUGAGGAAUCAUGAGAACUAAACAAGGCCUUACACGAGGAUGAGUUGAUACAACACAUUUAUGUGGGUCUGUCGCCACCAGCAGAGAAUUGCGAACAGACUGUUCGCUUGAACUUACUAACUAAAUCAGUAAUAUUUUUUUAUAACAAAUCAACAAAAAGUAAUUUCUAUCAUAGCUUAUCAGCUAAACGAACAAAAAAUAAUGUAACGUGCCACAAAAAAUAAUGUGACGUUGACUUCCGCCUCAGUCCCUCACAAUACAUGAGAUUGGAUUGCAGCUAAACAAAAGUUCUGUAAUGUAUUCCAAGGUAUUUUAGAUUGUCAUCUAUUACUUAGAUAUCAAAAUUUGCAUGCAAACCUGGUAUGACACAGGCAAGUUCAAGGACCAAGUGACACAUCCACACAAUGACACUAUACAUAAAUAUAAUACUUAAGGCCUGUUUGGUACAGCUCACAACAGCUUCAUGAGCUGUUUUUUUUUGCCAAACACUUAUUUCCAAAACAACUUCAUUGAAGCUGUUUUUCUCCUCCUCUCACAAAGACAUAGUUGGAUGAAGCUGGAAAAAAGUAGCUUAUUGCAGCUUCUCCCUCAUUUCUCUCUCUCAACUAUGCAUGAAGUAGUUGGUGAAGCUAUUUUGCCAAACACUUUUUCCGAAACAGCUCAGCUUCAUCUAGAAAGUCACUCAUGAAGCUAUUUUCUAAAAAAACAGCUUCACUAGUGAAGUUGAGCUGUGCCAAACAAGCCCUUAAAAGAAGACGCCACAAACUAUUUUUUAACAAAACCCACGGAACAUGCCGCAAACUUGAUGUCUUAUCGAUUUAUAUAUACAGCGUAAAAAUAGUAAAUACGAUCCCUUCCUAGUCCACAACACGAAAUAGGUCCUUAAAUUUUAUUGAGAAACACGAGAAGCCUUUCCUGUGGAACCAUCGGAUAUACAGAAGAAGAAAGCAAAAUGGUUGGCAGGAAGGCAUGUCCAAAUGAGUUGGCAAGGCUAGCAGGAAAGUGAUGCAGGCAGACAUGACUCGAUCCAUAUCCUUCUCCCUGUAAUACAUAAAUACUGUGAGAAAAAUGGUCUAGAUGGAUGAUGUUCAUAUUAUACUUGCUUCACUUAGCAAGAGAAGGGUACCAUGCAAUAUGUGGCAUACCAAGCUCUUGAAUCUUCUCCCUGUAAUACAUAAAUACUGUGAGAAAAAUGGUCUAGAUGGAUGAUGUUCAUAUUAUACUUGCUUCACUUAGCAAGAGAAGGGUACCAUGAAAUCUGUGGCAUACCAAGCUCUUGAAUCGUGCCUGGGCAAAUCACAGGACCUCUACCAGACCGCGUGUCAUGAAGCUUGCUGCAGAGGGUGGUGCAACGAAACGUCUAGUAAUCAUCCGUGGGGCAGGCGCCCAGGGUCUGCCAGUGCAUACAAGGAUUAAUUUGUAAAGUAGUUUUUUUAUAACAAACUUCAUUAACUUUAACAGCAACAUACAGAGAGGAGCCUAAAAUGCUCCCAGGUUACAGACUGCAAUGCCUCUAGACAAGGCAAGAAAGAUAGCUGCUAUGAGCAGAACAUGUACACAAGAAUUGGGUAAAGGCAUGUGAUGGACUAAAGACUGCGGAGUAGCAUUUAGUGAGCGGUGAAUUUUGAGAGUCUUGAAGCCGUUUCCUGCCAUAUGUUCUAGGAAUACUUACUUUUUGUAAAGGCUUCUAGUUGUACUGUGCCUCUGCCAAGUGCUAUAUUUACAGGAUACAAUUGACAGAAACAGACACUAAAGAUAAUGAGUGGUAUACUUAGCUUCCAUACUAAUAAUUUCCAAGAUUUAAAAAUUGACAACUCUUAUUAUUCAUAAGCCUGAUAAAUAUAUUUCACUUGAACUUGAAAGCUACAAUGUUUAGACACCUUUGGAAAACAUUAUUUAGUUUCAUGAACCCAGUGCUUUGUCAUAUUAAAUUGACUUGAUUCACGUGAAAUUGCAUGCGAAAUUUCUGUGUGCCAAAGGGGGCCUUUGCAGUACUUUUCUAGUUGGAGAAAGAUGGUGGUCUCCCAGUAAGUGAAAUGCCAAGACAGGGUCUGCUUGGAAUGCGGGAAUUCCCGAUAUAGGUUUAAUUUCACUAGGAAGAUGCAGUUUUUUUUUUUUUUGGGGGGGGGGGGAUGCUCCAAAAAAAAACGAGGACAACAGUGAAGAACAGGUGCAUAUAUGCGUCAAUAAAUAAACAUACAACCAACCAGCACAAAUCAAUUAAGUAUAAUAUGAUACAUAAAAGCCAGCACAGCAGCAAAGCAAUACAUAUUAUUAUUACCUUGAGAGGAACUUGGAGAACUCGGAGGGGAGGAAGGGCAAGGGACAUGCGGACUUUACUUGGGUCAACUCAAUCUUAUCAGUGUCAAGGUCCGCAAACCCAUUGAGAUACUGAGAACAUGACUCCACGAUCUUGGUGCUCAUGUUGAUGGUGACCACCCACAUCUUCAUCAUCACGUACUCAUAGUCACAGCAAAGGAAGUGCACCACAUGUGGCCUGUAGAUGUCCACCUGAGGGAACAUGAGAAUGUGGCGUGGGAGGUCCUUUGGGGUGUUUGCAGACCAGAGCUCCUUGAGGUGAUCGUGUAGUCCUUCUCCCACUCCAUGGAUUCUAAGGAGAGGGUGUGGCAGGUGAUGGUGAAGCCACCAACACUGGUUUUGAGUGCCCCAUAGCCAACGCCGUCAUGGCGGGCAACGUCGACGAACUUGAGCUCUCCACCACCGAUGUCAGACGCGCCACGAUACAGCCAACUGGAUGGUUUGCCCCGGAUAGGAAACUCAUCCAGAGGGAAGCGGAGGAAGGAGACGGUAGGGGUGGGAUUUCCAAACACGUCGCAGAAGAUGAUGCCACGGUAGUAGUCGAUCCAGCACAGCCAGCGGUCAACAGGGAUGACAGUGUCGGUCUGCCAGAUGCAGAGUUGCCAGUUAUCAUCAGGGUCAGGGUUCUUGCAGAAGCUGCGGAUUGGUACGCGGCAGGAGUUCCAUUCGCCGCAAAUGCCACCAGAUCUGGGUAUAGAUUGUUGGUGCAGCCAGAAGAUGUCGGCACAGACAUCACGGCGCAGAUAGUUGGUGCCGCCAGGCCUGAAAAGUCGUAGUUCUGCUACCACGAACUCCUCUUGGUCUCGGCACAAGAUGCCCAUGGAUCGGACCGCCAUCAGACGCCGCCGCCGCUGCUCCUUAGGAGGAGGAGGAGGAGGAGGAGGAGCAGCAGCAGCAGCAGCAGCGCGCCGGCGCCGGCGACGGCCACGGCGACCAUCGCGGAUGGGCGCGAUGGAAUAAUCCACUAACGGCUUGUCCGGCAAGUUACAAGCGGGCAGUGCUUUGAGUUUGGAAGGGUCGUCGGCAUCUGAGGCGCUGUAGAUGAAGAGCUCCUGCCGCAAAUCAAAUGUAUCGUCCUCGAUACAGACGCGAAACAGGACGAGAUGUUGGUGGCUCGCCAGGAUGGCUAAGGGCACCUGUUUUAAGGGAUCCGGAAAGCCCGGCAGCCGCGCGUAGAGGCGGGAGAUCGCCGGGGGCUCGGCGAGCUCGAAGGCGACGUCGAAGGGUGCCUCCCACCAGGUGAUGCCGGAAGCCCUGAUGGGCAACUUGUUCUCGUCCGGGAAGGCCUCAUCCAUGCGGAAGACGAAGCGCUCCAGCGUCACCCACUUGAGGGGGGAGGCGGCGGCAGACAUGACCGCUGCCAUGGCGACCUUGAGACAGAUGAGGAAAUUAGGGGACCAAGGGGAAUCACUCUGAGGACAAAUCGGGAGAGUUGUAAGAUGAGGUGCCUUACCUACGGAGAAGUAGGCAGCUGCCGGCUGGCCGCCGACCGUCGAGAAGAGCGGAGGGGAAGGCGGCAAGACGCGUGCAAUAGCGGCGCUCCGGCGAUGCGGCGGCUUCCCGAUUCUCGAGAGGCGAUGCGGCGGCUUCCCGAUUCGAGACAGAAAAACAGAUCUAUGGUUACCUUGUUGAGUUCAAAAAAAUUUUGCAAAAUUUUUCAGAUUUUCCGUCACAUCGAAUCUUUAGACACAUGCAUGAAGUAUUAAGUAUAGACAAAAAUAAAAACUAAUUGUACAGUUUGGUCAGAAUUGACGAGACGAAUCUUUUAAGCCUAGUUAGUCCAUGAUUGGACAAUAUUUAUAAAAUACAAAAGAAAGAGCUACAGUGUCAAUUUUGCAAAAUAUUUUGGAACUAAACAAGGCCAGCACAUAUGCACUUUGGGUCAUAGGCCUUUACGAAAGCUGUAACGCUGGGCCGGGACUAUGGUUCAGGAUCCAAAAAGUUUUUUAAAUUGUAACUCUGUAGUAUUUUUUUAUUUGAUAAUUAUUAUUCAAUUAUAGACUAAUUAGACAGAAAAAAUUCGUAUCGUAAAUUAUAGACAAAUUAUACGAUUAGCUAUUUUUAUUUAUAUUUAGUGUUCCAUACAUGUGCAGCAAGAUCUGAUAUGAUGAUAAAUUUUAAAAGGUUUUUGGAUUUUGGAACUAAACGAUGUCUCACUAGUUUGGGUAAGAGACGCCAACCGGUUAGGCCACUUUCCUCCGCCAGCUGGUGCAGGGAAGGGUGGACCUCUAGAGUCAUCAACAGGCAGAUGGGUUUGGCAAGAGGACAAGUGCCGAGGCCCUGGGUGGGAGAAGGGAAGUGGGGUGGGAGAGGCUUCUGAAACAAUGGGUGUAGGAGUUGGAGAGGAUGUGAGGGGGUCUGACAUUGUUUUAAGCCUGAAUGAUGAGGGUGGCGGGAACAAGGAAGGAGGCGAGGCUGUCAUGACGAGUGGAAGAUGCUCCAAGUGUUCAAAGAAAGGCCAUCAGGCUGCGGCAUGCAAGACUGAGGUGUACUGCGUCAUUUGUGAUUCACAUGAGCACAUGAAUCACCGAUGUCCUCUCCUCAAGGCGCCAAGGCCUGUGGCUCAUGCUGCGGGGUAUGCUGUGAUGGAUUUGGGUUUCUAUCAUAUCCCUCAUCCGCCUCUGCCUAGGGUGAAGAAGGAUUCCAAGAUGGCUCGAGUAUCAGUGGUAGGAGGUGUGUUGUCUGGAGAUCAGCUGAUCAUGCAACUUAGGAGGAUUGUGCCAGUCAAAUGGAAUUGGGAGUUAAAGGUUCUUGGGGAAGGGAAUUUUCUUACCCAGUUCCCUUCCAGGACUGAGCUUCAACGCUCAAUUGCUUAUGGAGGAGCUGAUGCAAAGGGGGAGGGAGUGUCGGCUGGUACGCGAUUGCAGUUUGAGGAAUGGCAGGAAAAGGAAGAAGGUUUUUUAUUACCUAAAGUUUGGGUGAGGGUGAGCUGUAUUAGGCAGCCACUCCGAGAGUUUCCCAUUCUGUGGGCAGUGGGUUCUCUAUUGGGCUCAACCCAAACAGUGGACAUGGAGACCACCCGGAAGAACGAAUUCGGUCGAAUCAUGGUCGCGGUACUUGAUCCUAAGCUAAUUCCAAAAAAGUUGGACGUUGUUAUCGGAGACCAUUAUUUUGAUUUGGAGUUCGAAGUUGAGACGAGAGGCUAUGAUGAGAACGGAGAGGAGGUAGACAUUGAGUGGGAUGACGGAGGAAAUGAGGGGGAUGGUGAGGGAAAGGAACAGGAUCCGAACAGCGAGAACGGUCUCUUUGAUGACCAGGCUUGUGAGCGGAAUAACAAGCGUGCUAAGAGGAACGAAGGGGGUCAUGGCGGGGGUGGAUUGGAGAAAGGUUCUCGGUCUGGGAAGGAGGCUCCAGUCUGUAAGGGACAUUUUUUGAAUGAAGAGAAGUUUCUGGAAUUCCUUAAGUGGAAGGCUAACAAGGUUAUUGAGGUAGCAGUGGAGAAGGCUCUGGAGGAGGCUUCCACAAAGGUGGCGGAGGAGAAGGAGGGUUCCUGGGAGGAGGAGGCUUCGGCGACACCUGAGAUGAGAGGUGACUCCUCUGUUGGGACAAAAGAAGAAGUGCAGGCGAUGGUGGUGGAAGUAGGUGUUGCUGUUUCUCAGGUAGAGGAGUUGGAGAAAGGUUCAUCUAAGCUGGAUUCAGAGGAGCGUGGCAUGACGGUGGCUCAGGAUAUUUUUGCUGAUGCAAAGUUGGUGGAUGUUGCGAUGAUUCCAGAGGUCGUGCUCUCCCCCACCAGGGUGAGCCCGCGUUUGGCUGGGGUGGCGGCUGAGCACACUCUAGUGCGGGCUGAGCGCUUGGUGCAGUCCAAGAAUUUGGAGUGUAACAAAGGUAACAAAUCUAUGGUCCCCUCUGCUUUUUCUUCUGUCUCUCAGGCUGUAGAUAAUCUGCGGGCGAUAGGCUUAGGAGCGGGCAGUAGUGGUAGUGCUUCUUUUGAAACAAAUGUGCAAAGUCUUUUGGAAAAGGAUUUUAGCCAUGUUGGGCAUGGGGCUGUUCUGGGGACAGGGGAGACAGAGGUUUCAGAUGCUGAUUCAGUUGAAUCAUAGGGGUUUGAGAGAAAAGCCCUAGAAUUUCUAUGUGGGGAUCUAAUGGAGGAAAUUUUUGAUGAUGACAGUUAUCACCUAAGUAGUGAUCUUAAAACCGUUCAUAGGAAGCAUGGCGCUAAGCCGUCUAGAAAGAGGGCUUCAAGAAAGCUGAAACUAAAGCUUAAUAAAAUUGGUAUACAAUGAGGGGAAUUUUCUGGAAUAGCAGAGGUCUUCGCGACAUGGCUAAAACAAAAUUUCUAAGUAAUACUUCGAGGGAGCAGGGGCUAGAUUUCAUUGCUCUUCUGGAGACUGGAAAAAAAAGAGUUUCUACAAGCUAAGCUUGAUAAGUACUGUGGGGGGAGAAAUUUUGUCUAACACUGGACUGAACCACAUGGAAGGUCUGGGGGAAUGCUACUUGGUGUGAACCUAGAUGUUUGCGAUGUGGGUAGUAUAGAGGAGGGAGACUUCUUCAUCAAGUUUCAUCUUAGGAAUAGAAGUGAUGACUUUCAUUGGUGCUUAGUAGCGGUUUAUGGGGCAGCUCAACCUGAGUAUAAAGAGAUCUUUCUAACUGAAUUAGUACAGGCGUGCAGGAAAGUCUCUCUUCCUUUGCUGGUUGGAGGAGACUUUAACAUAAUCAGAAACCCAAGUGAGAAAAACAAUGAUAAUUAUGAUAGUCGAUGGCCCUUUUUAUUUAACGCUAUCAUAGAUGGGCUGAACUUAAGGGAGAUUGAGAUGUCGGGAAGAAAGUUCACGUGGGCCAAUUCCAAAAAUGUGCCAACGUACGAAAAAUUGGACAGGGUUUUAGCUAGCACAGAGUGGGAGCAAAAAUUCCCCCUAGUCACUAUUGAUGCGUUGAGUAGGGAAAUCUCCGAUCACACUCCCCUCCUGUUGAGCACAGGCGAGGGGGUGAAAAAAGGAGUCAACCUGAGUUCAAAUUUGAACUUAGUUGGUUCCUU
rnacentral:lncRNA from 1 species